UCGAGCGGAACCUCGAUGAUGCAGCUCCAAACCCUGAUCGCUGUGGUGUCGACUCCACCUCCAAAUGACAUCAUCGGGGCAAGAUGGCAGCACUCGUAUCCGGGAUCUUCUGCAUGAUGAUGUCUCUGUGAACUCCAAAUGCUCUCCAACGCUGUCUCGUACCAUCAUCCCUCUUCAUCCCCGCUAACAAUUAGGAUGUACCGGACAUCUCCAUCACAGACUGGGGCUGCAGGGAAAUCUCCUCAUCACCAGUGUCCGACUGUCACUAUUCCAGCCCAGUGUCGAGUCAUUCCUGUCACAGUCAGCAUCUGAAA